GAUGAACGCUGGCGGCGUGCCUAACACAUGCAAGUCGAACGGAGUUGUCACCAUGAAGUUUUCGGAUGGAUUGGUAACAACUUAGUGGCGGACGGGUGAGUAACGCGUGGGUAACCUGCCUCAUACUGGGGGAUAACAGCUGGAAACGGCUGCUAAAACCGCAUAAGAUCGCAUCACCGCAUGGUGAGGCGGUUAAAUAUCGAAAGAUAGGUAUGAGAUGGGCCCGCGUCUGAUUAGCUAGUUGGUGAGAUAAGAGCCCACCAAGGCGACGAUCAGUAGCCGGCUUGAGAGAGUGACCGGCCACAUUGGGACUGAGACACGGCCCAAACUCCUACGGGAGGCAGCAGUGGGGAAUAUUGCACAAUGGGGAAACCCUGAUGCAGCGACGCCGCGUGAGUGAAGAAGUGCUUCGGCAUGUAAAGCUCUAUCAGCAGGGAAGAAGAUGACGGUACCUGACUAAGAAGCCCCGGUAACUACGUGCC
rnacentral:rRNA from 1 species